UUCUGUGUGUUGAUCCGUCACCUAAAUCACCGACCUUCUGGUGAAUCUGAAUUACCAUUGCGAGAGGCCACCCUCUUUGAAGAGCUGCGUGCAUGUAAUGUUUCCAUUCUUCCGUACUACUUAUAAGCGUCAACUCCUAGAAAUCCCCAUUUGUUUCCCAGGAAGUCAUGGUAUGAACCGUAAGCAAAUGAGUCUUUGGAUUCACAUUGAACUUCCCGUGAAGCCAUUUGCGUAUGGAACCAAAACUCCUCUCUAGGGGUUUAUCUAGACUGCACUGUAUUCGUUCCACCGCCCACUCCAAGCUGUAGCACGCGCUCCACCGCCCUCCACCGAUCGAGCCGCUAGCCGUGCCGCUAGCCGUGCCGGGUCCCGUCGGCAUGUCCCGCCGUGUGAGUGCCGCGCGCGACCGAUGCUUGGAGCUGGAGCGAGCCAUCGCCGGCCGCGUCCGCUCGGGAAGCCUCGGCCUCGACGACGCCGUCAAGCUGUUCGACGAAUUGCUCCCGGUCGCCAGGCACUGAAUGCUAAACCCUGCACGACACCGACCUUGAGCGGCCUUGUGACCGCGGGCUCGGCCGACAGCACCAGCGACAACCGGAGGCUGGCCAAACGGGUUGGGGAAGAGCUUGGCAAUCUCAUCUGCACCAGAUCAAUUAAAAACCAACAAAUCUGAUGAGCUCAAACCCAUCGCAGACUGGACGACAAGCAGGACCCGAGAUACGGCGCACUGUAAUGGUCUCCUGAGUAAAACUUACCGGGGUUUCCUACGUUUCAGGAGUCUCUGAAUUAUUACAACUUUUGGACGGGCGUAGGGAGCCGUGUCAGUGAGCAUGUCCAUCUAUCAGACUGAGCCGUUUCAGGAGUCUCUGAAUUAUUACAAUUUCCUCUUGCUUCAGGAACAUAUACAAACAAACCAUGGAUCUGUAUCGUUUGCCAUAUAUGGUGACCAUCAUGAUAAGCCUGCUUUUAUUACUUAUCCAUAUAUUGCCUUGAACUGUAAGUUUUAUAAUCAUACUUUAUUGUUACAUAUAAGAAUUAUGCAGCACUAUGACUGAAGUCAACUAUUGUUCAGUCUUA